rnacentral:rRNA from 1 species
CGGGGGACAGGGUGACAGGUGGUGCAUGGUUGUCGUCAGCUCGUGUCGUGAGAUGUUGGGUUAAGUCCCGCAACGAGCGCAACCCCUACGUUUAGUUGCUAACAGGUGAAGCUGAGCACUCUAGACGAACUGCCGUUGACAAAACGGAGGAAGGUGGGAUGACGUCAAAUCAUCAUGCCCCUUAUGUUCUGGGCUACACACGUGCUACAAUGGCCGGUACAGACGGAGGCGAAGCCGCGAGGCGGAGCAAAUCCGAAAAAGCCGGUCUCAGUUCGGAUUGCAGGCUGCAAUUCGCCUGCAUGAAGUCGGAAUCGCUAGUAAUCGCAGGUCAGCAUACUGCGGUGAAUACGUUCCCGGGCCUU